UACGUAGGGUGCGAGCGUUGUCCGGAAUUAUUGGGCGUAAAGGGCUCGUAGGCGGUUUGUCGCGUCGGGAGUGAAAACCUCGGGCUUAACUCGGGGCUUGCUUUCGAUACGGGCGGACUGGAGGUAUGCAGGGGAGAACGGAAUUCCUGGUGUAGCGGUGAAAUGCGCAGAUAUCAGGAGGAACACCGAUGGCGAAGGCAGGUCUCUGGGCAUUAACUGACGCUGAGGAGCGAAAGCAUGGGGAGCGAACAGG
rnacentral:rRNA from 1 species